rnacentral:rRNA from 1 species
UACGAAGGGGGCUAGCGUUGCUCGGAGUCACUGGGCGUAAAGCGCACGUAGGCGGCUUUUUAAGUCAGGGGUGAAAUCCUGGAGCUCAACUCCAGAACUGCCUUUGAUACUGGGAAGCUUGAGUCCGGGAGAGGUGAGUGGAACUCCGAGUGUAGAGGUGAAAUUCGUAGAUAUUCGGAAGAACACCAGUGGCGAAGGCGGCUCACUGGCCCGGUACUGACGCUGAGGUGCGAAAGCGUGGGGAGCAAACAGG